CCUCAUUGUACAUGCUGUGUGUAUUUUUAGAGCGUACACAGCGCAUGCAAUGUGGACA
rnacentral:pre_miRNA from 1 species